CACGUAGGCACCAAGCGUUGUCCGGAUUUAUUGGGCGUAAAGGGUGCGUAGGCGGCGCGGUAAGUCGGGUGUGAAAUCUCGGAGCUUAACUCUGAAACUGCAUUCGAUACUGCCGUGCUUGAGGACUGGAGAGGAGACUGGAAUUUACGGUGUAGCGGUGAAAUGCGUAGAUAUCGUAAGGAAGACCAGUGGCGAAGGCGGGUCUCUGGACAGUUCCUGACGCUGAGGCACGAAGGCCAGGGGAGCAAACGGG
rnacentral:rRNA from 1 species